rnacentral:rRNA from 1 species
UCGAGAAUUUUUCUCAAUGGGCGCAAGCCUGAAGGAGCGACGCCGCGUGGGGGAUGAAGGGUUUCGAUCCGUAAACCCCUGUCAUUUGUGAACAAUGGUUACUGGUGAAGAGCCAGUGAUUUGAUAGUAGCGAAAGAGGAAGGGACGGCUAACUCUGUGCCAGCAGCCGCGGUAAUACAGAGGUCCCAAGCGUUGUUCGGAUUCACUGGGCGUAAAGGGUGCGUAGGUGGCGGUGUAAGUUUGAUGUGAAAUCUCCGGGCUUAACCCGGAAAUGGCAUUGAAUACUACAUUGCUGGAGGGUUGGAGGGGGGACUGGAAUUCUCGGUGUAGCAGUGAAAUGCGUAGAUAUCGAGAGGAACACCAGUGGCGAAGGCGAGUCCCUGGACAACACCUGACACUGAGGCACGAAAGCUAGGGGAGCAAACAG